rnacentral:rRNA from 1 species
UGGCGGCGUGCCUAACACAUGCAAGUCGAACGGAGCUGCUUUGAUGAAUUUUUCUGAUGGAUUUAAAACAGCUUACUGGCGGACGGGUGAGUAACGCGUGGGUAACCUGCCUCACACUGGGGGAUAACAGUUAAAAAUAACUGCUAAUACCGCAUAAUCGCACGGUUCCGCAUGGAACAGUGUGAAAAACUCCGGUGGUGUGACAUGGACCCGCGUCUGAUUAGCCAGUUGGCGGGGUAACGGCCCACCAAAGCGACGAUCACUAACCGGCCUGACCAGGGUGAACGGACACGUUGGGACUGACACACUGCCCAAACUCCUACGGGAGGCAACUGUGGGGAAUAUUGCACAAUGGGGGAAACCCUGAUGCACCGACGCCACGUGAGUGAAAAAGUAUUUCGGUAUGUUAAGCUCUAUCAUCAAGGAAGAAAGUGACGGUGCCUGAAUAAUAAUCCCCGGCUAACUACCUGCCAACUCCCGCGGUAAUACCUAGGGGGCAAGCGUUAUCCGGAUUUACUGGGUGUUAAGGGAGCGUAGACGGCAAGGCAAGUCUGAUGUGAAAGCCCGGUGCUUAACGCCGGGACUGCUUUGGAAACUGUUUAUCUGGAUUGCCGGAUAGGUAAGCGGAAUUCCUAGUGUAGCGGUGAAAUGCGUAGAUAUUAGGAAGAACAUCAGUGGCGAAGGUGGCUUACUGGACGGUAACUGACGUUGAGGCUCGAAAGCGUGGGGAGCAAACAGGAUUAGAUACCCUGGUAGUGCACGCCGUAAACGAUGAUCGCUAGGUGUAGGUGGGUAUGGACCCAUCGGUGCCGCAGCUAACGCAAUAAGCAAUCCACAUGGGGAGUACGUUCGCAAGAAUGAAACUCAAAGGAAUUGACGGGGACCCGCACAAGCGGUGGAGCAUGUGGUUUAAUUUGAAGCAACGCGAAGAACCUUACCAGGUCUUGACAUCCCGAUGAAAAACCCGUAACGGGGUUCCCUCUUCGGAGCAUCGGAGACAGGUGGUGCAUGGUUGUCGUCAGCUCGUGUCGUGAGAUGUUGGGUUAAGUCCCGCAACGAGCGCAACCAUUAUUAUUAGUAGCCAGCAGGGAAAGCUGGGCACUCUAAGGAGACUGCCGGGGAUAACCCGGAGGAAGGUGGGGAUGACGUCAAAUCAUCAUGCCCCCUAUGAUCUGGGCUACACACGUGCUACAAUGGCGUAACAAAGGGAAGCGAGCCUGCGAGGGUGAGCAAAUCCCAAAAAUAACGUCCCAGUUCGGACUGUAGUAUGCAACCCGACUACACGAAGCUGGAAUCGCUAGUAAUCGCGAAUCAGAAUGUCGCGGUGAAUACGUUCCCGGGUCUUGUACGCACCGCCCGUCACACCAUGGGAGUCGGAAAUGCCCGAAGUCUGUGACUCAACCGCAAGGAGAGAGCAGCCGAAGGCAGGUCUGAUAACUG